rnacentral:rRNA from 1 species
UAAGAAGGGUGCAAGCGUUAAUCGGAAUUACUGGGCGUAAAGCGCACGUAGGCGGUUUUUUAAGUCAAAGGUGAAAGCCCCGGGCUCAACCUGGGAACUGCAUUUGUGACUGCAAGGCUAGAGUACGGCAGAGGGGGAUGGAAUUCCGCGUGUAGCAGUGAAAUGCGUAGAUAUGCGGAGGAACACCAAUGGCGAAGGCAAUCCCCUGGGCCUGUACUGACGCUCAUGCACGAAAGCGUGGGGAGCAAACAGG